GCCGGGGUGGCGGAAUUGGUAGACGCAACGGACUUAAAAUCCGUUGGGCUUUUUAGUCCGUGCCGGUUCGAGUCCGGCCCUCGGUA
rfam:Bacterium SM23_31 WORSMTZ_31491, whole genome shotgun sequence.